CCUUACUAUGUUAAUAGCUAAGUUUCUUUCAUUUAUUCGGACACUCUUGGCAAAUUUCCUGAUGGUGCUAAUCAGCAUUUAUUGAGGUUAUUUUUCCUCUGCUUUGGUUUGUUGUCUUAUUUUUGUUACACAUUGUGCUGGGCUUUUUUCGACUGAAUUAUUUUAUUUCAUCUGCAUUACACAUGUAAGAGCUAGAGAAGAGACACGAGGACUGGAAUUUGAAACAAGGAGAAAAAGAGCCAGUGCUGAGAGCAAAUGGGCCAACAGAAGGAAGAGCGGAGAAGAAUGCAGAAAAGAACACAUGUCUGAGAGCCGAGGAAAAUUGCUUCUGCCACAGGGAGCCAACGGAAUCUAACGGCACCGAGAGGUCAAAGAACUUGAGACUUGAUGCAGGAUCUGGGGUGCUGUCUGAGACACAGGAAGGUGCCUCCAGGAGAAGCCGUGUUUGUAAGGUCAGAAAAGACCCAAGACCGGGACUACUGGUUCUGACUAAACUCUGCAAAGGCUUUGUAAUUUGGGGAAAGUGACUCUCUCAGCUUGUUUCUUUAGUUUUAAAAGCAAAGAGACUCUGUGUCAGAAAUAUGUUAUGGUAUCACCCUUUGUUCUCCUGUUUUGUUUCAUAACA